UAGCUAGUUGGUGAGGUAACGGCUUACCAAGGCGACGAUCUGUAGCGGGUCUGAGAGGAUGAUCCGCCACACUGGAACUGAGACACGGUCCAGACUCCUACGGGAGGCAGCAGUGGGGAAUUUUGGACAAUGGGGGCAACCCUGAUCCAGCCAUGCCGCGUGAGUGAAGAAGGCCUUCGGGUUGUAAAGCUCUUUCGGCCGGGAAGAAAUCGCAUGGGCCAAUACCCUGUGUGGAUGACGGUACCGGAAUAAGAAGCACCGGCUAACUACGUGCCAGCAGCCGCGGUAAUACGUAGGGUGCGAGCGUUAAUCGGAAUUACUGGGCGUAAAGCGUGCGCAGGCGGUUUUGUAAGACAGGCGUGAAAUCCCCGGGCUCAACCUGGGAACUGCGUUUGUGACUGCAAGGCUAGAGUACGGCAGAGGGGGGUGGAAUUCCACGUGUAGCAGUGAAAUGCGUAGAGAUGUGGAGGAACACCAAUGGCGAAGGCAGCCCCCUGGGUCGAUACUGACGCUCAUGCACGAAAGCGUGGGUAGCAAACAGGAUUAGAUACCCUGGUAGUCCACGCCCUAAACUAUGUCAACUAGGUGUUGGGUGGGUAAAACCAUUUAGUACCGUAGCUAACGCGUGAAGUUGACCGCCUGGGGAGUACGGCCGCAAGGUUAAAACUCAAAGGAAUUGACGGGGACCCGCACAAGCGGUGGAUGAUGUGGAUUAAUUCGAUGCAACGCGAAAAACCUUACCUACCCUUGACAUGCCAGGAACUUGCCAGAGAUGGCUUGGUGCCCGAAAGGGAGCCUGGACACAGGUGCUGCAUGGCUGUCGUCAGCUCGUGUCGUGAGAUGUUGGGUUAAGUCCCGCAACGAGCGCAACCCUUGUCGUUAAUUGCCAUCAUUUAGUUGGGCACUUUAGCGAGACUGCCGGUGACAAACCGGAGGAAGGUGGUGAUGACGUCAAGUCCUCAUGGCCCUUAUGGGUAGGGCUUCACACGUCAUACAAUGGUCGGUACAAAGGGUCGCCAAGCCGCGAGGUGGAGCCAAUCCCAGAAAGCCGAUCGUAGUCCGGAUUGCAGGCUGCAACUCGCCUGCAUGAAGUCGGAAUCGCUAGUAAUCGUGGAUCAGCAUGUCACGGUGAAUACGUUCCCGGGUCUUGUACACACCGCCCGUCACACCAUGGGAGCGGGUUCCGCCAGAAGUAGGCAGCCUAACCGCAAGGAGGGCGCUUACCACGGCGGGGUUCGUGACUGGGGUGAAGUCGGAACAAGGUAGCCGUAGGGGAACCUGCGGCUG
rnacentral:rRNA from 1 species